rnacentral:tRNA from 1 species
GGACGAGUAGCUGAGACGGAGUAGCGUCUGGCUGAAAACCAGAAGACGGAGAUUCGAGCGCUCCCUCGUCCA